rnacentral:rRNA from 1 species
UCGAACGAGUUCGCACUCGUGGCACAUAGCUCAGUAACACGUGGCCAAGCUACCCUUCAGUCGGCAAUACCCUCGGGAAACUGAGGCUAAUAGCCGAUACGAAACAGACGCUGGAAUGCACUGUAUUCCAAAGACAUCGCUGAAGGAUGCGGCUGCGGCCGAUUAGGUAGACGGUGGGGUAACGGCCCACCGUGCCAGUAAUCGGUACGGGUGAUGAGAGUCAGAGCCCGGAGACGGAAUCUGAGACAAGAUUCCGGGCCCUACGGGGCGCAGCAGGCGCGAAACCUUUACACUGCACGAAAGUGCGAUAGGGGAAUCCCAAGUGCGAGGGCAUAUUAGCCCUCGCUUUUGUUGACUCUAAGGCGGUCAACGAAUAAGAGCUGGGCAAGACCGGUGCCAGCCGCCGCGGUAAUACCGGCAGCUCAAGUGAUGUCCCAUAUUAUUGGGCCUAAAGCGUCCGUAGCUGGCCGACCAAGUCUAUCGGGAAAUCCACCUGCCCAACAGGGGGGCGUCCGGUAGAAACUGGCCGGCUUGGAACCGGAAGGCUCAGAGAGUACGUCCGGGGUAGGAGUGAAAUCCCGUAAUCCCGGACGGACUACCGAUGGCGAAAGCACUCUGAGAAGACGGCUUCGACAGUGAGGGACGAAAGCUCGGGUCUCAAACCGGAUUAGAUACCCGGGUAGUCCGAGCCGUAAACAAUGCUCGUUAGGUGUGGCACCCACUACGAGUGGGUGCUGUGCCGCAGGGAAGCCGCUAAACGAGCCGCCUGGGAAGUACGUCCGCAAGGAUGAAACUUAAAGGAAUUGGCGGGGGAGCACUACAACCGGAGGAGCCUGCGG